GGGCCCGCACAAGCGGCGGAGCAUGCGGAUUAAUUCGAUGCAACGCGAAGAACCUUACCUGGGUUUGACAUACACCGGAAAGCCUCAGAGAUGGGGCCCCUUUUGUCGGUAUACAGGUGGUGCAUGGCUGUCGUCAGCUCGUGUCGUGAGAUGUUGGGUUAAGUCCCGCAACGAGCGCAACCCUCGUCCUAUGUUGCCAGCGGAUAAUGCCGGGGACUCAUAGGAGACUGCCGGGGUCAACUCGGAGGAAGGUGGGGAUGACGUCAAAUCAUCAUGCCCCUUAUGUCUUGGGCUGCACACAUGCUACAAUGGCCGGUACAAAGGGCUGCAAUACCGCAAGGUGGAGCUAAUCCCAAAAAGCCGGUCUCAGUUCGGAUUGGGGUCUGCAACUCGACCCCAUGAAGUCGGAGUCGCUAGUAAUCGCAGA
rnacentral:rRNA from 1 species